rnacentral:rRNA from 1 species
AUGGAAUACAACCCCGAAAUACUCAGCUGGAACAUGCGUGGCCUAAACAACCUGGCCAAAAGAAAGGCGGUGAAGGACUUUGUUGCCACGGUGAAAGUUAACCUAGUGUGCUUUCAGGAGACUAAACUAGAUGUAAUAGAUCACUUUAUGUUAAUGGAAUGCCUAGGCCGGUCUUUUGAUGGCUUUCUGUAUUUACCGACGGUGGAAACUCGUGGAGGGAUUCUUUUGGCGUGGGAUACCACCAUCCUUUCGGUGGAUAAUGUGCAGUUCGACACUAACUCUUUGACGGCACUCGUGCAUGCAAAGGAUGGUUCUACUUGGUGA